rnacentral:tRNA from 1 species
GGGUCUGUAGCUCAGUUGGUUAGAGCGCACGCCUGAUAAGCGUGAGGUCGGGUGUUCGAGUCGCCCCAGACCCA